GGAGGAGUGCCGGAGUGGUCUAACGGAACAGUCUUGAAAACUGUCGCCUCGGAAACGGGGCCGUGAGUUCGAAUCUCACCUCCUCCG
rfam:Parcubacteria bacterium GW2011_GWA2_42_18 TV08_C0024, whole genome shotgun sequence.